GGUGGACAUUGUUGGAACUGCACCAGGAUUCUCAGCAGUUUUCUAUGCCAUGUUUUAUUCAGGCUACAUUGAAAUCCAAGUUUAUUUGUGCCACACACAGAUUAGCAGAUGUUAAAACAGAUGUUAAAGCAGGUGCAGUGAAAUGCUUUGUGACCGUGUAAUACCAUCUUACAGAGAUUUCUGCACAGGAAGCUUGAUCCUCAGUCCCUCUUUCCCUGAGACGCCCUCUAAAGGGGAGUCUUGUGGGGUUUGGAUGAAAUAGACUGGCACUCGGGUGGAAUCAUGAGUCGCAUAGCAACAGUUACCAGGGUCAGGAUUUUUAUUAAAACAUCCAACCAGCGUGGGAGGGAGGGAGGUUGACAUGAAGCAGGCUGCCUGUCACCUACAGACCACACAGCCAUCAGCAGCCAGGGCCGUUGUCAUAGAGACCUGGUGCCAUAGCCAAUCAUGCCUCCCACACCACAGUAGGGGUCCAGAUACAGUGGUGUGCAUCACACGAGCCAGGUCCAAUGAUUCAAGUCUGGUCAGUGACGUCUCCGUUAUUAUUGGACGUUGUAGCUAGCUCACAAUGCCCUCUGACGAUGAGUUCAAUUAACGUGAAGCUCCAUGUGUCCAGGCCGGCCAGGUUUCCAUGAGAACCAGCGUAAGAUUGCGUCGGCGAGGGCUGAGGCGCCAGCAGCAGGAGAGUUGGACGGGAGUUCAGCUGCAUUUGCCUUGGCGUGGGCGGACGGGUGCACGUGGCCUUUUGCGGCUCAGCUCUGCCAGGUCUCUCCCGUCUCUGACGGGCAGCCGGCGUGUGGGAAAACACCACGUACACUACGACAGGCUGGCUCUCAGAGUUAAUUACACAUAACAGGUGGGAGAGAGGGAGAGGGAGGACAAAGCGGAACCACCUCCAUCGCAGAAGUCAGGCAGACCUGAGUUUAGAGCUGUUCAGGGGUAUACUUAUUCAUUUCCUGUACCGCCAUAUGCAUAUCCCUUGACAUUUAUCCAUAUGAUUGGAUGCAAAAAUGUACUUCAGCUCACACGCUGGCAGACGUUUGAUUGCAAGCAGGCAGACUUCUUAAAGUAAGCGUGUGGGCUGAAGUGUCCAAAAUUUGCAAGUACAGACACCGGGCAGCACGACAGGCAGAGUGUUCCUGUGGCCUUGGCGGAGGCAGGCCAGGCCUUGGCGGAGGCAGGCCAGGCCUUGGCGGAGGCAGGCCAGGCCUUGGCGACGGCAGGCCAGGCCUUGGCGACGGCAGGCCAGGCCUUGGCGACGGCAGGCCAGGCCUUGGCGACGGCAGGCCAGGCCUUGGCGACGGCAGGCCAGGCCUUAGCGACGGCAGGCCAGGCCUUAGAGACGGCAGGCCAGGCCUUAGAGACGGCAGGCCAGGCCUUAGAGACAGACUAAUGUCUCUCCCAAGGUCAAGGAGGAAAGCCAUGGCUGAGCUGCGGCAGAGUGCAGCCCUGUCCUGGAGAUGGCAGACCAUUUCCAACCGGUCUCCACAGAACAUAACAUGGAGCCCACUGGGUCUCCUGUAAUGAGGUGGCCCAAAGAGAAACAUGACAGGAAAGGGAGGGAGAGCGGGAUAGAGAGAGAGAGAAAAGGGCCCCGUUUCGUUCAGACUUCAUAAGUGCCCUAGUUUUACAAAAGCACAGUAGCAAAGCACAGAUAGAUAAGGUAGAUAAGAGCAUACUGUGGAACUAGUCAAUGUCACUACUGCUACAUUAACAACACAAAGCUGAGGCUAUGGAACCCUGACCUGUUCACCGAACAUGCUACCUUGUCCCGGACCUGCUGUUUUCCACUCCCUCUCCAACUCUGAAUGUUCGGCUAUGAAAAGCCAACUGACAUUUACUCCGGAGAACUAGGAGAGAUAAAAGGGAGGAAGAGAUGGAGGGAUGGGCGAUUGAGAUUGCCUCGAUGCAAUGGGUUGUUGCAACUCCGACAAAAUGAUGCCAUCUAUCUAGGGCUAGCACUUUUAGCUGGGUAUCCAGGCCUCUGUAGCCUGAGGCGAAACACACACAGGAGGACCCAGGAGCCAUCUUGUUGCUAUCCAUAGCGUAGGACUGAUGGACGAGGCAAUCAGCAUUGACAUUCUCCUCAGGCCUGGCUAGAGCUGGCCUGCUUUGUUAGAUCAAACCAACAGGAAAAGCAUUAGUAUUUAGCCUAACAAGGUUCCAGUUCUCUCCAAAAACACAAUUUACUGGCAAAAAUACAUCCAUAAAAGAGCAUUUGAACACAGAGCUCCAUUGCAUACAGAAUAAAAGAGAUUAAAAUGGAGUGAGCAUUUAGCUUCCAUGAGGCAUAGACUGCUCAUUAACUCUCCAGAGAGUAGGCUAAGUUAUGGGUGAACUCCAAAGACCGAGAACCAGUGUUCAUCACACCAAGUCAAUGCUACAUUACGCUAGCCGUCGACUAGUAAGCCAAAUAAUAUUGUCUGGAUUUAACUAACUUUCAACUCCAAAGUAUAACUGUCUGAAAUGUUUUUUCAUGCUCUUAUUUUCAGACUUAGCUUAAAGCUACAAACAAGGUUGAUGGACAGCAGUUGAACAGCCCCCUCCAUUUAAAACACUUCAGAGUGAUUUCUCAUUAUUGAGACACACGAAUCGAAAUGUUCUUAAGUUUGAAGGUUGAGGUAGAAACUUCUAAUGACUUAGACCCAUUGAGUU
rnacentral:lncRNA from 1 species